UACGGGGGGGGCAAGCGUUGUUCGGAAUUACUGGGCGUAAAGGGCUUGUAGGCGGCCAACUAAGUCAUACGUGAAAUCCCUCAGCUUAACUGGGGAACUGCGUGUGAUACUGGAUGGCUUGGAUUUGGGAGAGGGAUGCGGAAUUCCAGGUGUAGCGGUGAAAUUCGUAGAUAUCCAGAGGAACACCGGUGGCGAAGGCGGCCUCCUGGACGAGAACUGACGCUGAGACGCGGAAGCGUGGGGAGCAAACAGG
rnacentral:rRNA from 1 species